rnacentral:rRNA from 1 species
GGAUGAACGCUGGCGGCGUGCCUAAUACAUGCAAGUCGAGCGAACAGACGAGGAGCUUGCUCCUCUGACGUUAGCGGCGGACGGGUGAGUAACACGUGGAUAACCUACCUAUAAGACUGGGAUAACUUCGGGAAACCGGAGCUAAUACCGGAUAAUAUAUUGAACCGCAUGGUUCAAUAGUGAAAGACGGUUUUGCUGUCACUUAUAGAUGGAUCCGCGCCGCAUUAGCUAGUUGGUAAGGUAACGGCUUUCCAAGGCAACGAUGCGUAGCCGACCUGAGAGGGUGAUCGGCCACACUGGAACUGAGACACGGUCCAGACUCCUACGGGAGGCAGCAGUAGGGAAUCUUCCGCAAUGGGCGAAAGCCUGACGGAGCAACGCCGCGUGAGUGAUGAAGGUCUUCGGAUCGUAAAACUCUGUUAUUAGGGAAGAACAAAUGUGUAAGUAACUAUGCACGUCUUGACGGUACCUAAUCAGAAAGCCACGGCUAACUACGUG